rnacentral:rRNA from 1 species
CCUACGGGCUGCACCAGUGGGGAAUAUUGCACAAUGGGCGCAAGCCUGAUGCAGCCAUGCCGCGUGUAUGAAGAAGGCCUUAGGGUUGUAAGGUACUUUCAGUUGGGAGGAAGGCGUUGAUGCUAAUAUCAUCAGCGAUUGACGUUACCAACAGAAGAAGCACCGGCUAACUCCGUGCCAGCAGCCGCGGUAAUACGGAGGGUGCAAGCGUUAAUCGGAAUUACUGGGCGUAAAGCGCACGCAGGCGGUUGAUUAAGUUAGAUGUGAAAUCCCCGGGCUUAACCUGGGAAUGGCAUCUAAGACUGGUCAGCUAGAGUCUUGUAGAGGGGGGUAGAAUCCCAUGUGUAGCGGUGAAAUGCGUAGAGACGUGGAGGAAUACCGGUGGCGAAGGCAGCCCCCUGGGCAAAGACUGACGCUCAGGUGCGAAAGCGUGGGGAGCAAACAGGAUUAGAUACCCCGGUAGUC